AUUUUCUGCCACCGAAUACAUUAGCAUGGGAUAAUGGAAUAGGACCCUGUCCUCCUAUUUUCAGUUGGUUUUGGCAGCGCGAGGACUAGGGUAAUGAUUAAUAGGGAUAGUUGGGGGCAUUAAUAUUUAAUUGUCAGAGGUGAAAUUCUUGGAUUUAUGAAAGAUUAACUUCUGCGAAAGCAUCUGCCAAGGAUGUUUUCAUUAAUCAAGAACGAAAGUUAGGGGAUCGAAGACGAUCAGAUACCGUCGUAGUCUUAACCAUAAACGAUGCCGACCAGCGAUUAGGAGACGUUGAAUACAAAACACCACCAUCGGCGCGGCCGUCCUUGGCCGUGCGUCUCGUUUCGGCGAGGCGUUUGGCGGGGGCGGCUUAGCCCGGUGGCACCGGUGAAUGACUCCCCUAGC
rnacentral:rRNA from 1 species